rnacentral:miRNA from 1 species
GCACCCCGUGAACAAUAUUGUUAACAAGUUGUUGAACCAUCAACAUUGUUGCAACUUGUUGACAAUCAUGUUAACAACUUGCAACAGUACUGAUGGUUGAACAACUUGUUAACAAUAUUGUUCACGGGGUGC